rnacentral:rRNA from 1 species
AUUGAACGCUGGCGGCAGGCUUAACACAUGCAAGUCGAGCGGGGGAAGGUAGCUUGCUACCGGACCUAGCGGCGGACGGGUGAGUAAUGCUUAGGAAUCUGCCUAUUAGUGGGGGACAACAUCUCGAAAGGGAUGCUAAUACCGCAUACGUCCUACGGGAGAAAGCAGGGGAUCUUCGGACCUUGCGCUAAUAGAUGAGCCUAAGUCGGAUUAGCUAGUUGGUGGGGUAAAGGCCUACCAAGGCGACGAUCUGUAGCGGGUCUGAGAGGAUGAUCCGCCACACUGGGACUGAGACACGGCCCAGACUCCUACGGGAGGCAGCAGUGGGGAAUAUUGGACAAUGGGGGGAACCCUUAUCCAGCCAUGCCGCGUGUGUGAAGAAGGCCUUAUGGUUGUAAAGCACUUUAAGCGAGGAGGAGGCUACUUUAGUUAAUACCUAGAGAUAGUGGACGUUACUCGCAGAAUAAGCACCGGCUAACUCUGUGCCAGCAGCCGCCGUAACAC